rnacentral:rRNA from 1 species
GGCUCUUUGAAAUUAGUAUAUAAAGAGUCGAGCCUGCCCAGUGAUAAAAUUUAAACGGCCGCGGUACUCUGACCGUGCGAAGGUAGCAUAAUCAUUUGCCCUAUAAUUGAGGGCUUGUAUGAAUGGUUUGACAAGAGCAUAACUGUCUCCUUAAAAUUUUAUAGAAUUUGGUUUUUAGGUGAAGAAACCUAAAUAUAAUUGAAAGACAAGAAGACCCUAUCGAGCUUUAGAACAAUUAAUUAAAAAAUAUAACUAAAAUAAUUAAUUUUAAUUAAAAACUUUGGUUGGGGCGACUGAGGAACAUAUAAAGCUUCCUUAAUCAAAAUAUACUAAUAAGUAAUGAUCCAAAAAAAAAUUUGAUUAAAAAAAUUAGUUACCGUAGGGAUAACAGCAUAAUCUUUUUUGAGAGCUCUUAUCGAAAAGAAGGUUUGUGACCUCGAUGUUGGACUAGGAUAUCCUAAAAGAUGCAGAAGUCUUUAAAGGUUAGUCUGUUCGACUAUUAAAAUCCU